CUAACACUAAUUAGGAUAUGCUCCAGUUCAGGGGGCUGACUCUAACACUAAUUAGGAUGUGAUUAAGAUCACAGGCCUCUAAUUAGAAUUAUAGCAUUAUUAUUUAUUUCCACAAAUCACAUUUUCAUACAACUCUUUAUAGUGAAAUGUUACACACAUCUAUUUUGAUUUAAAUCGUAUCAUUGAUUAUUCAUCUAUAACUUAGACUUUUGAAAUAGUUUAUUAUACCCCCCGCAACAAGUUGUGGGGGGGGGGGGUAUACUGGAAUCGGGUUGUCCGUCUGUCUGUCCGUCCGUCCGUCUGUCCGUCCGUCUGUAGACGCAAUGGUUUCCGGGCUCUAAAGCAUUAUCCUUUCCACCUACCGUUACCAUAUCAUAUAUAUGAACUACCCAUGGGAUGAAGAUGUUCCCUAUCGAUUUUGGGGUCAAAAGGUCAAAGGUCACGCGCACUGGACAUCAAAGUAGCAAUAUGGUUUCCAUUUAAAUUCUUUAACGGCUUUUUUCAUCGCAUGGAGAUGCUGUGUUCCUAGAUACCUUUUGGAUCAUAAUAUUGAAGUUUUACCUAUAUAUUUCCAACACCCUUUAGGAGAUUGGGGUAAGCGGGGGGUAUUCUUAGUGAGCAUUGCUCACAGUACCUCUUGUUUUAACAGUUUUUUGUUUUUUUUUUUACAAUAACUAUCGGAAAAGACUAACAAAAUUUAUGUUCCUAUCAUGCAUAAAUCUAAAUAAAUCAUUGAUUUUGCAAAAUCUGAUGACAUCAUAGGAGGGUGAAAUUACUUUAAGUUAUGUUUAGUGCUGUGUGUAUAUAAACAUGCACUCAUAUAAUUAUAUCUUCCCUCUUCCAGGGGGAGACAUAUUGUAUUUGUACUUUCUGUCCGUCCUUCCUUCUGUCACAAAAUCUUGUGAACGCUUCUCCACCUAUAUGGCUUAUCAGAUAGACUUGAAACUUUGUACAAUGCUUCAUUGUCAUUUACAGAUGUGAAUAUUGUUGGGACGGGAGGAUCCAAUUGUUUUCCUAAGAGUUAUAGUGGAUCUAAGAGGGGUGGAAGAUGUAAAAUAGCUUAUGAACUCUUCUCCUCCCAUAUGGCUUAUUGGAUAGACUUGAAACUUUGUACAAUGCUUAAUUGUCAUUUGUAGAUGUGCAUAUUGUCGGAAUGGGAGGAUCCAAAGUUUUUCCUAAAAGAUAUAGUGGAUCUAAAAGGGGUGGAGGAUGUUAAAAUACCUUGUGAACACUUCUCCUAUAUGGCUUAUCUGAUAGACUUGAGAAUUUGUACAAUGCUUCAAUGCCAUUUGUAGAUGUGUAAGUUGUAGGGACAGGAGGAUCCAAUUGCUAUCCUUAAAGUUAAAGUGGAUCUGAGGGGUGUAGGGUAUAAAAUAGUUUGUGAACGCUUCUCCUCCUAUAUGGCUUAUCAGAGUUCAUGUCUAUCUUCCUGCCCAUGCUUUCUCCUUCAUACUAUUCAAUACAUUAAGGGGGAUGUUUCCUAUAUUUUACGAAUUAAUUGGUUGAUUGACAACAAACUUGGUACACUUGUACAGCAUAUAUAAGGAGUAGAUGACCCCUAUUGAUUCUUAGGUCACAUGGUCAGUCCACUCUUGACAUAGGAAGAUAUUGUCUGCUCAAUAUUUUGAAUUGGUGAUACUACUAUCAAUUAAAUGAGGCACGGGUAUAACCCUUUCAAUUUUGCAACUUGGGGGCAUAUGUGUUUUAGAAACAUCUCUUGUGUUGUAUUAUAUGAAUUACAGGUUUUAGUGUGCUCAGUUUAGAGAAUAGCAUAAAAGUAUUUGAUAAUUAAAUAUCUUGCAGAUUGGCAGUUUACUCCAUGCACCGACAGGAAUGAUAAACUGUGAUAUUCGUAAAUGGAACUGGGACACGUUCUAAAUAUACUCAGGGACAGAAUGAUGUGCAGCAGGGCUCGUCAUGGGUAGAGAUACUCCCAUUUAAUAUUGAUACUUUUCAUAUCCAAGCAUGUAUAUGGCUAGGUUGUAUAAUGUUUGUUAUAAUUAUCUAAAUUAUGUCCUUCCUUCCAUCUAUUGUUCUGUGUGUUGAUUUCUCACCACUCUGCAAGAAAGGGCAUUCAUGUCUAUUUCAUAGACGAUCCUACAUGUAGUUGCAAUUGAAUCAUAAAUUAUUCCCAAAGAGUUCAUGAUUUCAUCAUGUUUUGAAUAUAAUAUUUUUUCAAUAUCUAUUUUAGAUUUUACCAAAUACAGAACACUGCAAGGCUUGCAAAAUGAAGACCUCAGUAAAAAAAAUUCUAAAUUAUCCACUGUAAGGCUACUUACCAGUAAUUCAUAUCUAGAACUUAAACAUAUCAUCCUUGAAACAAUAAAAACUAAUUUAAUAUAGUAUAUUUAUGUAUGUUAUGCUUUUUCAACCUUUAAAUUUUUUAAAGACAGUAUAGUUUAUUAUGAUUGCACAAUAUUUAAAGUUUAAAUUUUCAUAGAAUUUUGUUUGCUAUCCAGAAUGGCAGCUCACUACCUGCCCCUAGUGAUGCUAAAAGAGGCCGUUGUUCUCAUUUGUUCCAAAACAGGAAUGGCAUAUGAGGAGGCCAACAGAAGAUGCACCUCCACUGACCUCCACUGAGUGUGCACUCACAAAACGAAUAAAUUAUUAUUAUUUCUUUUGUUUGUAAUUGUAUAUUGUCAACAAGGUCAAAGGCACUUGAUCCGAUGCCAAACUUUUGCAUUUCUUUUGCUUUGUGGUAAAUUUUCUUCAGCAACAUUAACAUUGUUUAAAUUGUUUUCUUUGGAGAGUAUACAUGUACACAUGGAUCAUUUGUAUAUUAGAAUUAUAGCAUUGUUUAAUUCAACUCAUUCUUAUCCUAGAGAGGUUAUUAUAUACUGCAGGCAACGACUUGUAAAGGGUAUACUGUUUUAACUCACGUGCAAGGCAAGGCAGUAUUAUGAAACUCUGUAGUUGAUAAGGACAUAUAUCACAUAUCGAUAUGCAUAUUUACAGGAAACUCUGAUGUAUUUUAAAUCUGAACGUUAAUUUAAAAGUGGGGAGAAAUAGCAUUGGAUGAAAAAAGACACAUAUGAAGAAAAUUAUUCCAUACGUAAAUACUUUUUAGCUCACCUGAGCUGAAAGCUCAAGUGAGCUUUUCUGAUCGCCUGUUGUUCAUUGUCUGUCCGUGAUUAAACAUUUUAUAUUUUCUCCAGAAGCAAUGGGCCAAUAAUAACCAAACUUAGCCAAAAGUAUCCUUGGGUAAAGGGCUUUCGAGUUUGUUCAAAUGAAGGGCCAUGCCCUCUUCAAAGGGGAGAUGACCACAAAAAUAGGGUGGGUCAUUUAAUUUUUUUUAUCAAGAACCACUGGGCCAGAAGAGCUAAAAUGUACAUGAAAGCUUCUUGACAUAGUACAGAUUCAAGUUUAUUGAAAUCAUGGCCUCCAGGGGUUGUAUGGGGCCACAAUAGAGAAUCAAAGUUUUACAUACAAUUAUUCAGGAAAAAUCUUUCAAUAUGAGCCAAGGUGGCUCAGGUGAGCGAUGUGGCCCAUGGGCCUCUUGUUCAACAUAUAGAAUAAAUACAUGUAGUUAUGUUGUAUUUCCCAUGGAACAUUGAAACGUUUAAUGCGUUUACCAAUUAAUCACUGAAAGAAAGAUAAAAUUGUUGUUUCAUAUGUUUUAUGAAAACUUAAAUUUUUUUUCAUUUCUUUUCAUGAAAGACCCCUUAAUUACCCAGUAAUAUAUAAUCAAUUCUUAACAGAUUAUGUAAAUUUGAUUUAUAUUAAGGAUGUUUGAUCUGAUUACCCAUCAUUAUCAAUCUGUCUAAUAUAGCCAUCAUGUGUUACUAUUGCUACGCAAUCUUGGAGCAUGAGGUAGAAUGCGAGCCAGCUCUUUCAUAAGUACAUGCAUCUGGAAAAUAUAUUUCAAUGUCAAAGGUUACAACAAUGUGAUAAUGUAAUCAUUGUAUGUCUAAGGUCUUGAUAAUAAAACUGUUAUCUGUUCAA